GGGGGGGGCGCUUACAAAAUGUUACAGUUUGGAGUAACAUUCUUGCCUCCUACUUUACUAUAAAAGAAAGAUGAGAGUUGUUCAUUAUGUGGCUGCUUCCUGCUGAAUAGGGGCACUGUAGUCAGGGUUUGGGUUUUGAAGUACUGCGUGUCGUCUUCAGAGUUGUUUUCCUGGAGGCGCUGAUACCGGACUUGGUGGAGAAGGAUGGUAUGAAUGUGUUUCUAGGUGGCUGCCUGGACAAGGGAGUUCAGCCUUUGGGAGAUAAAGCAGAAUAUAAAGGGUCACACUCUGUCACCCAGACUGGAGUGCAGUGGCGCAAUCUCAGCUCGCUGUAGACUCAACCUCCUGGGCUCAAGCGAUUCUCCCACCUCAGCCUUCUGACUUUGCCUCGGGAGAGAAAAAGAGAGUCGAUUCCGAGUACAGCUGGGCCACUGGGACUGCAUUCCUGCCUGUGAGGAGGACAGCCUGUCAAUGAGCCAGAAGGGGCUAACAGAGGUUCUCAAGUUUUGCUAUCAUAAACACCCAAAGUACACCACGCCGGCAAGCUGAAGGCUGACAGGAUAGAAAACUUGCACAAGACAGUUAACAUUGUAGCGAU
rnacentral:lncRNA from 10 species